rnacentral:rRNA from 1 species
GAGGUCAGCGGCGGACGGGUGAGUAACACGUGGGCAACCUGCCUGUAAGACUGGGAUAACUCCGGGAAACCGGAGCUAAUACCGGAUACUAUGUCAAACCGCAUGGUUUGACAUUCAAAGACGGUUUCGGCUGUCACUUACAGAUGGGCCCGCGGCGCAUUAGCUAGUUGGUGAGGUAACGGCUCACCAAGGCGACGAUGCGUAGCCGACCUGAGAGGGUGAUCGGCCACACUGGGACUGAGACACGGCCCAGACUCCUACGGGAGGCAGCAGUAGGGAAUCUUCCGCAAUGGACGAAAGUCUGACGGAGCAACGCCGCGUGAGUGAUGAAGGUUUUCGGAUCGUAAAACUCUGUUGUCAGGGAAGAACAAGUGCCGGAGUAACUGCCGGCGCCUUGACGGUACCUGACCAGAAAGCCACGGCUAACUACGUGCCAGCAGCCGCGGUAAUACGUAGGUGGCAAGCGUUGUCCGGAAUUAUUGGGCGUAAAGCGCGCGCAGGCGGUUUCUUAAGUCUGAUGUGAAAGCCCCCGGCUCAACCGGGGAGGGUCAUUGGAAACUGGGAAACUUGAGUGCAGAAGAGGAGAGUGGAAUUCCACGUGUAGCGGUGAAAUGCGUAGAGAUGUGGAGGAACACCAGUGGCGAAGGCGACUCUCUGGUCUGUAACUGACGCUGAGGCGCGAAAGCGUGGGGAGCGAACAGGAUUAGAUACCCUGGUAGUCCACGCCGUAAACGAUGAGUGCUAAGUGUUAGAGGGUUUCCGCCCUUUAGUGCUGCAGCUAACGCAUUAAGCACUCCGCCUGGGGAGUACGGUCGCAAGACUGAAACUCAAAGGAAUUGACGGGGGCCCGCACAAGCGGUGGAGCAUGUGGUUUAAUUCGAAGCAACGCGAAGAACCUUACCAGGUCUUGACAUCCUUUGCCACUUCUAGAGAUAGAAGGUUCCCCUUCGGGGGACAAAGUGACAGGUGGUGCAUGGUUGUCGUCAGCUCGUGUCGUGAGAUGUUGGGGUUAAGUCCCGCAACGAGCGCAACCCUUGAUCUUAGUUGCCA